rnacentral:lncRNA from 1 species
GCGCUGCUUCCUAGUGUCAUCUUCCCGCAGUGCCCUUACGUGGUGGAAGGGGUGAGGAGCCCUCUGGGCCUCCUGUAGGACAUUACAUAAGGGCACUCACCCUGCCCAUGAGGCUCCACCCUCAAGAAACCAGCCCCUCCCAAAGGCCCCCCUAAUGCCGUCACCUUGGGGAGGGGAGGACUUCGGUAAUUUGGAGGGACACAAACUCUCAGCAUAUGGUACCCCAGAAGAUGAGAGAGAGAGAAAGCCCUGCCGCCACCUGGGUUCUGAACUUCUAGCUCCAGCGCCGCGGGCAAUGAGUCUCUUGCUUGAAGCCCCAGGUCAUGUCCGAGGCAGCAGCCGAGGACACAGCUGGGAACACACAAGUUCUGAAGGACAGACAGGCCCAUGCAGUCCCGGGAGUGGGGGCUCCUGCAAGGCUGCGGUGAGGGGCCCUCCAGGGCUCUGCAGGUGCUGGUAGAGGUGCACAUAGCAUGCGUGGAGAGAGGAACCCAUAGAUGCUUGCUAGACCCUUGGCUACUCACGUCGAUUGGCUAUGGCCUGAUGCUUGGUUUGGGGUUUGGAAAUGGGUCACUGAAGAUACACCUGCAAGCCUGCAUGAAGGAGAGAGCAGGUGCCAGAUGAACAAGUCACCACGGAGGCCCACCAGCUCACCCAGCCGCUCGGCCAUCCCAUAUCCCGAUGGUGCCAGUGGUGUGCAUGUAGACACCUGAGCAGCAAGCCGGAGCACGGAAGGAGGCAGCAACUCCAUCCUUCCAAACAUGCAGGACAAAGUUUUGGAGUCCUCUUUGAGUUGCCGCUUCACACCCCAUCACAAGUCUCAUGGGCUCUGCUCACCUGCAAAACAUACCCUAACUUAGGCCACUUACCCUACCUCCAUCGCAAACGCCCUCGUCGACACUAUCACCACCUUGUGCUUGGACUGGUGCAGUGGCCUCCCAACCAGUAUCCAUUUUUCAUUCUUCACCCACAAAUGGGUGCCUUCAUCACCCACAAAUGGGGAACUCAUUACAACGGGGAACUCGAUGUACCUUUUCCUAAUUUGCAAGAAUUUUCAAAGUCUUUAGAUAAAUGACUGUUAUGGGUUGAACUGUGUCUGCCCCCAAAAAGCAUAUGUUGGCAUCCUAACCCCCAGUAUCUCGGAAUGUGACUCUAUUUGAAAAUAGGGCUGCUACAGUGGUGAUUAUGUUAGAGAGUGAUUAUUAGGGUGGCCCUAAACCAAUAUGACUGGUGUUCUCAUAAGAAGGAGCAAUCUGGACAUAGAGACAGACAGACACAGAGGGGAAGACGGCUGUCUGCAGGCUACGGAGAGAGGCCUGGAGCACACCCUUCCCCUGCUCCUUCAGAGAACCCACAGCCCUGCGGCAUCUUGAUCUCGGACGUUGGACCUCCAGGCCUGGGAGACGACAAAUUCCUGCUGUUUAGGUCACCCAGGCUGUGGUUCUUAAUUAUGGCAGCCCUCGAAAACUUAUACAAAGAUAGUACAUUUUAACUUAACAAAAAAAUGAUGCACCUCAAAUAAGGAGUAUGCCCACGGAACUAACGCUGCCGGCAACCCCAGCACCUGAUCGUGUUCAUAACGACAGUGACCAUUUAUGGAGCACGUCCUCUAACUCUGCUAGUGCAGACACCUCGGCAUUAUCGCAUCCCUCCGCGGGCCAGGUAAUGACACCCCCAAUCCACACCGAGCAGGCCAGACCGCCAGGAGCCAGGAGGUCGUCUGGAUUCAUGCAGCGCGUCAGCCUAAAACCGGGAUCCACCCAAGCUGCCCCGCUCAGGAUUAACCACGCAAGACGCCGCUGCCUGGGACUGGCAUGGGAAAUGUUUCCUUCCGUGACUGGAAAACUCUGUUCCUUUAUA